rnacentral:rRNA from 1 species
AUCUCCUACGGGAGGCAGCAGUGGGGAAUCUUGGACAAUGGGGGCAACCCUGAUCCAGCCAUGCCGCGUGUGUGAAGAAGGCCUUAGGGUUGUAAAGCACUUUCAGUGGGGAGGAAGGCUUCUGGCUAAUACCUGGGAGUACUUGACGUUACCCACAGAAGAAGCACCGGCUAAUUUCGUGCCAGCAGCCGCGGUAAUAAU